CCUACGGGAGGCAGCAGUGGGGAAUAUUGCACAAUGGGGGAAACCCUGAUGCAGCGACGCCGCGUGAGUGAAGAAGUAAUUCGUUAUGUAAAGCUCUAUCAGCAGGGAAGAAAAUGACGGUACCUGAGUAAGAAGCCCCGGCUAACUACGUGCCAGCAGCCGCGGUACUACGUAGGGGGCAAGCGUUAUCCGGAUUUACUGGGUGUAAAGGGAGUGUAGACGGCAGUGCAAGUCUGGAGUGAAAGGCGGGGGCUCAACCCCCGGACUGCUCUGGAAACUGUACGGCUGGAGUGCAGGAGAGGUAAGUGGAAUGCCUAGUGUAGCGGUGAAAUGCGUAGAUAUUAGGAGGAACACCAGUGGCGAAGGCGGCUUACUGGACUGUAACUGACGUUGAGGCUCGAAAGCGUGGGGAGCAAACAGGAUUAGAUACCCCAGUAGUC
rnacentral:rRNA from 1 species